UCCAGCUUAAACUAAAGCAGGCAACUUGUAUUUGGCUUGAUGUAUGGUAGUCAGUUUAGAAGUCCCUUUUUCUCUUCUAUGUUCAUUUCAUCGCUAUGGUUCCUGAUCUUCUACUCCUAGUUUGAACAAUACCCUGUCACUUGACUGGCGGUUUCCAUAAGCAGCUCAGCCACAGAAGAGUGGAGCGGCGAAAGAAAUCACCUGCCAACCAAUUUCCUCGAUUCAUCAAUCUCCCCUGGCCAUCUUAUCCACACAGGAAAUCAAAAGGACCUGAUAAAAAAUAUUGCACAUCAGAAAACUCUCCUUAGCAACGUAUUGCUCACCGGACUGAGUCCCACACAGGAACGUUUCCUUGGAGGGCUCGAGGCAUCGCUAAUGCCAUUAGAUUGCCGUUGUGUCCAUGCCACAGAUGUUCAGGUCCUAAGCGGUUAUAUUAACUAAUGACGGGUCAUUAUGCAUGUCCAGUAACACGACCACAAGUCAUGGCAAAACAUUAUUAAUAAAUCAGAUAUAACCACUGCCUAUGAUGUGAUAGAUUAGACAAAAAUAUAUAUGAAUGAUUUACAGAAAAAAAUGAGAUGACAGUGUUCUACCAGUGGUCCUGAAUCCACUUCUACAGAUCAUAGGAAGAGAAAACAUGGACAAUAUGACACCUUUUAUAAGCUACACAUGUGAGGUCAUGGGAAAAGUCUAUUAUUUUCAAAGGACGUCAUCCAGAGCAAAAGAAAUUAGAACUUUAGCAUCACAUUAUUGCAAUGAAUAUUUUUUUUUACUAUUAUAUGCACCAAGGCUUCUGUUCAACUGGCUGAUCUAAGACCGAAGGAGAAGAUGCUUCUGAUCAGAGUGAUACAUUGGUUAUAACGGUCCAGCCAAUGGUUUAGGUGUCGUGGUAGCGUAAGCAUCACGGUGUGGGUGAUAUUAACUAAUAUAAUAAGAUGAAAUAUCGAUGACAACAAAAUGCUUGCGCGAUUCAAUGCAAUACAACCGAUUAAAAUGGCUGUAUAGAGACGGUUUUUACUUCUUUUAAAUAUUUUAAUAAAAUACAUUUUCAAU